GGACAAACAAGAUGAUAGUUAGCCUGAGGCCAUGUUGUUGGCUAGGGCUCGGCGGUUAUCUGUCAAUCAAAAUAUGGCGCCCAGAUAAACUUUUUUCCCCAUCUCACCAAAAAAAAUUCGUCCCGUUCCAGGUGAUCCCGUCGCUGACAGCUCACAUGGAUACAAUGCGGAUGUUUCUCACAAUGUGCCAAAAGCGUUUGCGCCGCGCGCACCUAAGAAAACAGGCGCAGCCUUUAACUGCGGCCAGGAGGAGUUCGGCUUUGCGCACAGCUGAAGAAGACAUCGACGCGCCUGCGCGGGAUCAAAGGCUGACAAACAGCGUCAACAAUGAGAAAAAAAGCUGGCACGGAACCGGGGAUAAGUGGAUGAGGCUGGGCGCACGCAUGGAGCUUCGGAGGGAGCGCGCGCGCGCGCAUGCCUGGACAUGUGAUCCGUCCGAACCCGGGUCUCAUGGGAACUCUCAGAGGUUGCUUUUCUGUUGUUCUCAAGGGUCAAAGACAGAGUUAAGUGAAGGGCAGGAGGUGAUCUUUUAUGUGCGCCUCCCUCACCUUUUUCUUCCAAACGGCUCAUGUCUGGUUUGAUCCAAAAACACACGUUUAGUGCCAAAAUAAAGAGUCAUGGGAAGAAAAUGGUGUGAAAACCAAAAAAACAGUUUUCACUACUUCUAGUUUUACAGAUGAAAAAGAGACAAAAAGUAGAAAAAAUGAAACAUUUUGAGUGGCAACAGCAUUUGUUUGGCAGUGAGCAGAGAGAGCCGGACUGCCAGCUCUGCUGAGCCCCUCUCCUAAUGUCAGGACCCUCAAGGAAAAAAGUCCUGCUUUCAUCAGCUUUACUUUUUGGAGGCUCUAAACAGCUGGACUCACACAAAACACAAUUCACACUGCAGGUUGUGAGAUUUAAAGUCUUUUAAGACAAAAUCUCUGCAGAAACUAAAAAAAAAUGAGGCUGAGCGAGCAUUAACGCCGUAUUAAUGCUGGGAGCUCUCAGGUUUCUGUCUGCUUUCCAGAAAUUGGAUCUUCAGGGGGAAAAAAUGCAACUUUUCCGGAAGUUUCAGGCUUUUAAUGCAGAAGAAAACAAAGCAAACUUAAAAUACUCCCCAAAGUGGCUCCUUUUGUGUAUUUUUUAUGGUGUCUUACAUUUUUAUUGUUCGUUUUUCAGAUUGUUUUAUUUACGUGUAAGGAACUUUGUGUUAUAUUCUGUAUAAAAAGUGCUAUAAAAAUAAAGUUUGAUUUCAUUUGUAGAAAAAUAUCAUCUAAACUGUAGUUUCAGAUCAAAAUAUAUGUGCAUAUGCAGCUUUUAAAAUCUAUGCUGAAUUAGAAGUGUGUAUUUUUACUCUCAACAUGUAAAAAAUUAAGUUUAGGUGAAUAUACGGAACCCCACAGGAGACAAUAUUUUAAAAUCAAUGCAAAAAAAUUCAAAAGACAAGCUGAAUAAUGAGAAAUCAUAUAAAAAGUAUGUUUAACUACUAUUUUUGGUGUAGACGAUAAAAACAGAAUUCAUUUUUUAUUUAAAAAAUGUUGAAAAAUGUUAAACAAAAAUCCUGUAUCUCAAAAAUAAAAAAAACUAAUACAGCAAUAUAGUGAAAACAUUAAAAUAAAUAAGGGAAGCAAAAACAUUUUGUUUUGUUUGAUAGAUCACUUAGUGAAAAGUGUGAACUCUGUUCCACUGUGUAACCUUUAAAGUGGAACUAUAUGGAGGUCCUUAGGAGACAAUAUUUUUAAGAUCAAUAAAAUAAAAAAACACAAGCCUCAAGACACAAAACAUGAGAAAAUAUAUUUUAAAAAUCAAAAAGAUUAUUACGGUACUUCUAUUUUGUUGCAGGAAGUGUUUUUGCCUAACAACCGAAUAUUCUUUAGCAAAGAAAUGAAAAUAAAUAAAUUAGCAAAAAUAAGAAAUGCAAAAAAGCAUUUAAACUAGCCAAAACUUUUCUAUUGUUUUGUUAUACAAAUGUUUAGGUUUUUUGCUUGUUUCUGUUUAAUUGUGUAACCUUAAAAAUGUAAAGCAUGGACCUUUGGUGGAACAAUAUGGAGGCAAGGAGGAGACAAUAUUUUAGAAAAAAAAUGCAAAAAUAAAAAACCUCAAAACAAAAACUUACUCAUUAAAAAAUAUUUUAAAGACAAAUAAAAAGUUUUCCUAGUGAAUCAAUUUUGUAUAGAUAAUAAAUACAGGGACCUUUUUUUUCAAAGAACAACUUCGUCUUUUAUAAGAAAAAUAAAAACUUUAAAACUCAGAAAGACAAAAACCUAAAAAACAAAAAUAGGAAAAAAA